rnacentral:lncRNA from 1 species
UCUAGGGUUUCGAUGUCAGUGUGAGUGUGAGCUCUAUUAAUAAGUGGCUCAGAUCUCUUCCGCCUGGUUCGUCUUUUAUUUGUUCACUAGAAGACGUCGAAAACGAUCUAGAAAUUAUUAAGAUGUCCCAAUUGGCCAUUGACAAAUACAAUUCUGACAAGGUAAGCUUAUGUCCGUACGUAUAUCCUCAUUCAAUUGUUUGUGAUUGAUUGAGAUAUUCAAUUCAGGGUCGAGAUUACAAAUUUGUGAAAAUUCUGAAAGCCAACCAAUGGAUUCUAGGAGUGAUAUUGUAUUAUAUCACAUUCGUUGCCUAAUAUAAUAAUAAUUUUGACACCCUUCAAGCACAGGUAUGGGAGAAACCGGGAGGAGAAAAAUAUGAGGUGGACUUUUGCAGGCUUAAAGGUAACUUACCUUAGCUAGCCUGUUACUACUUAUAUUAUAUAUAUACCUUUGGUUUUUGAGGGUAUCCACUCGCAGUAUGGACUGCGGACACUUUACCAUCCCAUAACCCACUUUGUGGGAAUACGCUUGGUAUGUUGUUGUGGGGAUUUAGUGUCGAACCAUACAUGUCUAUAGUGACGAGUGUAUUGUCAUAAAGUCAUGCAUCCUUCAAGUGUUCCAAUACGCAAUUCGGGUAUUAGGUAGUCUCGAGAUUAUUUAUCCCACUGUUUGUACCAUAGUGAUGUAUAUAAGUUAUCCCGAGAUAGCUAAUCAUGACAUAAAUAAUCCCUUCUACCUUAGCUAGCCUGUUACUACUUAUAUUAUAUAUAUAUAUAACUUGGGUUUUUGAGGGUAUCUACUCGCAGGCGAGUAUGGACUGCUUAACUUUACCAUCCCAGAACCCACUUUGUGGGAAUUCACUGGUUAUGUUGUUGCGGGGAUAUGGUGUCCAACCAUUCAUGUCAUUUGGAAAGGGGUGGGUGGGUGGACCGACUUCAUCUUCCAAAUUCCUCACGGCAACCAAACGACCUCUUGAUGGAUUUAUUUGCUUUGGUCUUAUCUGAACACACAACAAUAUUUCAAAAUUCUCUAGUCUAGUCCACAAUUUUGGAAUAACUUAGCCAAUUUUUUGCCUUUUUCUUUUGCUAUAGAGGCUUUGACAUGCUUGAAAAUUCAGGUCCAUGUGCAUACAAGUCUUUGGUGUGUGUAGUUGAACAUCAAUUCUUCAAUUGUUAUGCAUGACUCUGUUAUUUGUGAUUGUUUUUUCACAUCAAAUAAUGUUAUACGUAAAAAAAAAAAAAAAAUUAUAUUGCUAAUAUGGUUUGUCUUGAACUCUGUUAGAAAUAGUGUCUAUCCACCUCCCAAGUUAGAGGCAAGGUUUGCGUACGCUUGUGUUUUGCGAAAGAAAGGUCUGUAUUUUCUGGUUCAAUGUUUCUUGCUAUGUUCACAGGUUGGAACAUAUAAUCCCCCGCAGUUUUGAUGAUUGGAGUGGUAGAUGGCUCUUUUUGCUAUGUUGAGGUUGGAAUUGUCAAGUUCUUUUGUUAUAUACGGACAAGUAAUUAUGAGAAAAAUGAUGUUUUGAAUUUGUUUUGUGUCAACCCUACUUUGGUUUUGAUCUUUGUUAUACUUAGAUGGCAAGUGAUGAGAUAUCUUCUGAUUCUUGUUAAGACCACUUUUGUCUACUUGUGUUAUUACUAAGACAAGGGAACAAGUAUUGGUGACGUUGUCUUUUAGUCUCGUACUUAUUCUGAGAAUAUAAUGAUGUUAUUUGUGUUACAAGCUAACACUGGAGAUAGAUAGUGUUGUGAUGUUAUGAUUCUUGUUAUGUUUGAUGAUGAAUACCUUGGGUUGUUUCGCUUCUAUCUAUGGUAGGGUAGUAUUUUGUUUUAAUUUAGGAUUAAUACAUAAACUGCCCUCUGAGAUUGCACCCAUUUCAAUUGUGGUUUCAAGAUUCUACAUUCUCUUGUUCAUGAUUGUACGAGACAUCCUUUGGUAGUAGAAGAUUCUUUUUGAUGUUGCAUGAAAGAUGAAUAAGUUAUAGGGUGAUUUCUUUCUCAGUGUCCAAGUCACGAUGGAUAGAGUUAUCUAGUUUCGAUACUUAUAGUGAUGGUGUAUGGAAGGUAACUCGUGAAAUAAUUGAUGCAUUCAAACUAUACACUUGACACCGUUAGUCUAUGUAAACUUGUGUUUUGUUGAAUCAAGAAUGUAAUGGUAUUUAUAUCUUUUCAACUGCUUUUGAAGUAUAUGAUUCUCCUUAAUCUUGAACUUCUUUUCGUACGCCAUUGCCUCCGAAUCUCCCAGCAUCUGUUUCGAGCUGUUGUUUGUUACAACUAACUUGUUUAGGAGUGUUUUAGAAACUCUUGAGUUUGAUGUAGCUUGAUGGAUUUAUUUGUCUCAUUCUUAUCGCAACACACACAACAUUUCAAAAUGCUCUAUUGGAAAUAAUAUUAUGUCGUCGUUUUGUAUAAAAAAAAUUCUAUUCCCUUGUGAUUGUGAACUUGUGUUUCGCGAGAGAAAAUUCUGUAUUUUCUGGUUCAAUGUUUCUUGCUAUAUUCAAGUUGGAACUGUCAAAUUCUUUUGUUAUAUGUAGACAAGUAAUGAAGAGAAAAAUGAUGCUUUUAACUUGUUUCGCGUCAACCCUACUCUGGUUUUCUUUGUUAUACUUAUUUUUUUUCUAAUAUUUUGCAGGUGAUGAGAUACCUCCUGAUUACGAUACUAACAAAUACGGACUCAAAUAUAAUCCCCGCACUUAUGAUGAUUGAAAUGGUAGAUGGCUUUUUUGCAAUGUUGAGGUUGAAACUGUCAAAUUCUUUUGUUAUAUAUAUAGACAAGUAAUGAUGAGAAAAGUGAUGUUUUAGAUUCUUUGUUCAAGUCACGAUGGACAGAGUUAUCUGAUUCUGAUACUUAUAUUGAUGGUGUACAGAAGAUAACUCGUGAAAUUAAUUGAUGCAUUCGAACUAUACACUUGACACCUUUAAGUCUAUAUAAACUUGUGUUUUGUUGAAUCAAGAAUGUACAGAUAUGUAUUAUAUCUUUUCAAUUUCUUUUGAAGUUUAGGAUGCUUUUCAAUUUGGAAGUGAUCAAUAUGUAUAUAAGAAGUUCAAUUCUUCACGUAUAUAUAUUUUGAUAAAUCUUAUAUAUUUUUUUUUUUUCCAAUUCUAGCUAACCAUAAACUUUCAAGAAAAAAGACAGUCUUUGCUCUAAAGCCGUGACUAAGUGCAUAUUGGCUUGUGUAAAAAAAUAAAUUUAUAUAUAUAUGUAUUGCCGAGAGCACAGCCCAAGCGUGACGCUUUCCUUUUCACAAUAGUACGAUUUUCUCCUAUUUGUCUAGCUCUUUCGAUGAUCACUAUAGCAUUUUCAGUACCAAGCACAACGGAGUCCGUGUUCGUGUAACAACAAUCAUCUCAAGAGAUGUAAGGGUAAGAUGUAUCUUAGUGUACGCAGUUAUAGCUGCCGAUGUCUGGACCACCGCGUUCUUUGUGUUGGACCAUUUCCCGAAGGUCGAGUUUAUACUGACAUGGUAGGAAGCGAGGUUGAUAUAUAUAUAUAUAUAUAUAUAUACUAGUUUAGGUGUACGCGUCUUGCGCGUGUAUCAUGAGUUCAAACAUUACAGUAAAUAGGAUGAUUGUUUAAAUACUAAAGAUGAAUAUAAUAAUUAAAUUUAAUAACUUUUGAGUAUAUAAAGA